rnacentral:rRNA from 1 species
UACGGAGGGUGCGAGCGUUGUUCGGAAUCACUGGGCGUAAAGCGCGUGUAGGCGGCCUUUUAAGUCUGAUGUGAAAGCCCGGGGCUUACCCCCGGAAGGGCAUUGGAAACUGGGAGGCUCGAGUACCGGAGAGGAAGGUGGAAUUCCUGGUGUAGCGGUGAAAUGCGUAGAUAUCAGGAGGAACACCGGUGGCGAAGGCGGCCUUCUGGACGGAUACUGACGCUGAGACGCGAAAGCGUGGGGAGCAAACAGG